UGCUCCUGCCACCGAACGCCCAACCCAGCCCUCCCCUCGCCGGGGCGGCAGCGCUCCUGCGGGCGCUCCUCUGCGUCCGCGGUGCGCGCGACGCCGCGGCCCUUGCCUUCUACUAGCGCUACAAGAAGGGGUUCUCCGCCUCGCUCUCCUCCCCCGCUGCGGCGUCCUCAUCCCCUGCACGCCCGCCUUGCAGCUGCGACUGCCCGGCGCCCCUCUCCCUCAAGUCCAUCGCCCCGGGCCGGCCUCGUUGAGAACCCAGGCGAGGACAACCACGACAUGCGGGUCUCCCUCUUAGGCCUCCCAUCGCUAUCCGUCGUCGAGGUGCCGUUGUUCCUGCUCUACUCCCUGCCUGGAAGACCCCUGCAGCAUGCUGAGCACUUCCUACCUGCCGGCAGCGUACUGGUUUGGGUGGGGGAUAAGCAUUUGGUCAUCAUAUUGCAUCAUUGUUCUCUGUCGGCAGCGUACGGCCCAAAUUGAAAUUAACACAUGCUGAGGUCAGCUCGACUGCUUGUGCACGGGCAGCAAAAUUACAAAUACUGUUCGAUUUCUCUCAGGAUGGAGAUCGUGGCCAAGGCACCUAUGAUGAUUGCGUCUACUGUGUUGGGUCAGAUAGCUUGGUCUAAGUCAGAUAUGAGCAUGUUUAAGCUACAGGGAUGGAGAUCGUGGCCAAGGCACCUUUGGUGAUUGCGUCUACUGUGUAGGGUCAGAUAGCUUGUUCUAAGUCAGAUAUGAGCAUGUUUAAGCUACAGGGUAAGGUAGUCUUUGAGAUUGCAUGCUGUUGCUGCUAGUUUCGUAGUGGACUGGUUGAAAAUUGCCAUGGUGCAAUUAUUGUAAGAUCUUGUGCUAGAUUAAAACUUAAGUUAAGACUAUGGUUUCAUGCUGAAUGAAAACUUGUUUUCUUGUAUGUAUAUGCUGAGAUGGAUCAAAACUUAUUACAUGUAAUGAAUGAAAUAUUUAAUCUGUUGUGUUUA